rnacentral:rRNA from 1 species
GAUGAACGCUAGCGGCAGGCUUAACACAUGCAAGUCGAGGGGCAGCAUGAGACAGAGAUUCGUCGAAGUCUUGAUGGCGACCGGCGCAAGGGGUGCGUAACGCGUGAGCAACUUGCCCGUUUCAGGGGGAUAACCGGUGGAAACGCCGACUAAUACUCCAUAGUAUUGCGAUAAAGCAUCUUUUUGCAAUUAAAGAAUUUCGGAAACGGAUAGGCUCGCGUGACAUUAGCUAGAUGGUGAGGUAACGGCUCACCAUGGCGACGAUGUCUAGGGGUUCUGAGAGGAAGGUCCCCCACACUGGAACUGAGACACGGUCCAG